rnacentral:rRNA from 1 species
UACAGAGGGGGCAAGCGUUAUUCGGAAUUAUUGGGCGUAAAGGGCGCGUAGGCGGCUUUUCAAGUGGCGGGUGAAAUCCCUCGGCUUAACCGAGGAACUGCCUGCCAGACUGGAUGGCUUGAGACCGGGAGAGGUGAGUGGAAUUCCCAGUGUAGCGGUGAAAUGCGUAGAUAUUGGGAGGAACACCAGUGGCGAAGGCGGCUCACUGGACCGGUACUGACGCUGAGGCGCGAAAGCCAGGGGAGCAAACGGG